ACGGUGACUCAGUGCUACCUUUUCCUGGGCUAUAAACCGGAGACUAACGACAGCUCUGGACGGCUCAGUCUAUUCCUUGAUAGAAAGCCUACUUUGCUUCCAGUAACCCGACUUUUGCCUGCACUGUGACUUCUGCUCUGUGAGUCACUGCUGGCCCUGGGAGCGAAGCCCAACUGAGCACAGCCUACUGGGUCCAAUCCCAGAUGACAGUUUUGUCCAAAGACUCCUUCCCAAGUCGGGCUCUGAGCCUGAGGAGCUGCAACCCCAGGAAAGCGCAUCACGGCAGAGAAUGCAUGGCAGACAAAGCCGUUCGCUCACUCACGGUAGGGAAGUAUGAAGGCAGAAGCAGUCCAAUCCCACCAUCUCCUUCAAACACAUGCUCCCAGUUAUCCAAAGCAUCAGGCCCCACUCUUCAGAAAGAAAGGCACGUUGCAGCCUGAGGCUCCCUGCCUUGCUAACUUCUUCAGUACUGGUUUACAGAGAAGAAAAUGUCUACUAAUUCUUAGCACCGAGGAGCCACGUGGUCUUGACAAGCCAACGGACUGCUCGGUUGGACCUGCGGCUCCCUCUGUGAAAUGAGGGCUACCCGGUCUAUGGAGCAGACUGCAUAAUCUCUGAUACACCCAGCUUCUUAGCUCCGAUCUCACCACACCGCACCGCAGGAGAGCAUUGGGUUUUACCCCGUGGAUGUCUGUUCAGCAAGCAAUGUGUGACGACUGGAUCAUGGACUAGGGGCGUGCUGUCCGGGACAGGCAGCCUCUGUUCUCAAAGACGUUACAGACUCAUUAGAAAGAGGCUGCCAAACGUUAAAAACAAACAGAUCCCACCUAUUAAGCAACUGGAGCACAGUCUAACAGGGACUAGCAAGUUCGAGACUGAGGGGGCAGCAGCUGCCGAGGGCCUUUGUGACCAACAUCCUACAGCUGAAGAAAGUGAGUGGAAGACGGCUGAGUGCCCCCUUUUCUGAGAAUCCACUCUGCUCUCACAGCUCAAUCAUCCUUAAAGUAGCUUCCCGACUCAGUGGAGGCCUGACAGGUGAGUUUUAACCACCUGCACCUGAAGAGAAAGGAAGAGGAUGCUGGAUUAGGUGCAGUUCCUCUCUGGGCCUUGGAAAGUGGCCAAGAGACUUGGCUCACUUUUCUGUCAGCCGGCCUGUUGGGCCUGGCUCUGACGGCCUUUGCAAACAGGCCAGGGCAGGACAUGCCUGCAGAGACCCGUAGGCAGAUGGAGCUCAAUUCGGAAGAUCACUUUCACUGUGUUGGCUGGCUGCUGGCUGCAGCAGAACCCCAGGCUGCUGCCAAGGGUUAAGGUAGCAAACCAGCAGUAGACGAGUGCUUGGCAGAAACCCAACCUCUGAGACACAGAGAGGCUUAAUUUCCACCCUUGGCCACCGUUGCAAAGGGACACUGCCACUCAGAUCAACAAAUCUGACUGCAGGUGAGACAAACAAACUUGAAUUGUGAGACAGAACCUAAGAAGGUCCCAUUCCCAGAAGCCUUGGCAUCCGCCCCCAUCAACUCUUAACGUCCAGGUUGCUCUAGGUGAACCCUGACCUUUGAAAGGGAGGUCUAAUGCCUCCGAGAAACCCCAGACCUGACUUCAAGCAGACCUCUGUAUAAGAACUGAUUGCACAAGCCUGCAUGUGUGGGGUUGAGGGAGGAAAAAGGGAAGAGUGUUUUCUGCGUAUGACUGAGACCCCACUAUUCGUUUGACUAGCAUGUUUCAUCUGAGUUCUGUCGAUCGUGAAGACAGUCAUAUAUGUCAGCACUAGAAACCUCUGCUCUCGGUUGUACAAGCAGCCUCACCCUCCCUGCAGCCCGUCAUUCUACUCAGAUCCCUCCCUGCGACCCAAUUCCCGUGCUCUCAGAUAGGAGCUGACCCCGGGGCUCAUGCCCACUUCACACUGGCCGGCUCCCGCCAGGCGCUGUGAGUGAUUUCUGUGGCCCUCCCACCUUUCGCCCCACCACCUUGCCCUCUGCAGCGGGCAGGAAAGCGGGACUCGGAGAGAGUUGGCUCUUGGCAUCUGGGAAGUGGUGGGGCAUCGAUUCUGCCCUCGUAGCAGGAAGGGCAAGAAUGCUGGCCACACAGAAUCGGGAGACGGCUGUGUAACGUGGGAGGCAAUGGGUUCCAUGUUCCCACACUGUAAGUCAUGAUGACACUGUUAAAAACGACGGGUGGGCGGGGGGAAAGUGAAAGAAAAAGAACAAGAGGGAACAGAAACCUCCCAGACGCACAGAGGAUCGAGCAACUGUAAGGGGAAGGCAUGAGGAUGGGAUGGGGGAGGGCGGCCUGGAAGUCAGUCAGGGAAACAAAGGGAAGGCAGGCAGAGGAGACUGGGUAGGAGGAAGAAACCAGACAAAGGAGCGCGAUGAGGUAGACUAGACCUUCUGCUUGAGAAAAUGUCCUAUUCCAGCCGAGGGUGGAGCCAAGCUCGCCCUAACCCCUGCCUGACGACGAGUCACCCUGAGAUCCCAGCUCCAGGCCGGAGACACCCCUCACCUUAAAUCUGUCUCUGCUUGUUGAAGAAGGCCUGGGUUGAGACAGAAGGAGCUUGUGGGGCUUUUCUGGAGAUAACACGAGGGAAAGUAGAGAGCCACGUGCUUGGCAGAACCUUCUCCGGAGUCCCCAAAUGGGCUGUGUUCAGCCCGUCAUGUCGGGAGUGGUGCCGAGCCCUGGCUUGGGUCUCUGGAAAUCUGAAAUCUGGGAGGGGGAUAAAAGGUCCACACGGAGAGCACUGAACAGCCACGCUGCUGCUCGGACAGGGAACACAGUCAGAAAAUGCCAAUGGAAGAUGAAAGGGAGAAAAAAUUAAAUGGAGAAUGGCUUUCUUGACAACAUCACAGAGUUUUCUUAAACAUGGGGGAUUAAGGUAAACAGUUUGGUCAAAUAUGAAAAAUUGACAACUAGACUAGAACUAGGAAGGUCCAGUACGUGGUCUUGAGAACAGCACAGCAAAACCAAAGUGGAGAGUCCCCAUCACUCAAGCCAAUCUCCUGGCGAGUUGGCUUGAUACAAUAUGGCAUUUGACCUCACAAAGCUAUUAAAAUUAGCAUUCCCUAGGAGUCAUGCUUACCAUUAAAAAGCAGCAAACAAAAGUAGACAACUCUGAAAGAGACCGGCUUGCAAGAAAGCCAGGCUUACCCUCAUCAGUCAGGUUGGACAGAAACAGACUUCAGAGGACAGCUUGAGAUCAAAGGUGGCAGGGAAAACUGAAGUUGGUGAAGGGUAGGCAGGUAUUGGAGGAGACUGGAGGUUGUAGUGUGUUUCUUUGUGUGUGUCACUG
rnacentral:sRNA from 1 species